rnacentral:misc_RNA from 1 species
UACUCCUACGGCGCCGCCCUUCGCGCCACCACAGCCAUGUGCGCCUCGCCGUGGUUCGACAAAUCCCCCGGCGACACACCAAUUGCCCGCUUCAGCUCUGUCGGCAUCUUCGACCCGAUCGCCCCUCGCCGCUGCCUGCUUUGCAACGCCGCCGCCUGCUCCGUUCCGACCGUUCGCCUUCAGCACGCAUCGGGCAGCGGCCAAGACGACAUCACCACCGCUAGAUGUCAUGCCGCCGUGCGCUGAGAGAAUGCGCGGUCCUACGGCGCUGCCAGCUCCGACCCGCGCGCCCCUCACCGCGGAUCGCAAGAUGCCCUUCGCGCCACCACAGCCAUGUGCGCCUCGCCGUGGUCCGACAAAUCCCUUGGCGACACAGCAAUUGCCCGCUUCGGCUCUGACGGCAUCUUCGACCCGAUCGGCCCUCGCCGCUGACUGCUUCGCAACGCCGCCGCCUGCUACGUUCGCCUUCAGCAGGCACUGUCGCGCAGCAGCCGAUAGGACAUCACCGCCGCUAGAUGCCAUGCCGCCGUGCGCCAAAAGAAUGCGGGGUCCUUCGGCGCUGCCAGCUCCGACCUGGGAGCCGCCACCACAGCCGUGCGCUCCUCUCGGUGGUUCGACGAAUCUCUCGACGAUACAGCCAUCGCCCGCUUCAGAUCAGCAAGCACUGUUAUCUCCCUCUCGGCCACAGCUGCUCGUCCAGCCGAAGGAGAGGAGGACAACAAUUCUUGAUCCAUUUGAAGCUGCCAUGCUGCGAGAGACAGCUGACGAAGACGACGACGACAUGGACGAGUUUGCUAAGGCCCUGGAAGAUAUGCUGUCAGCCGAAGCAAAGGAGCCUACGACGUAGUUCGACGAUGACGACUCUGCCAAGGCAAUCGAGGAUAUAAUAUAGAUCACAACGUUUAAAAGGAACUUCGAGUAUGGCUGCCUCAAGCUAGCCAUGAGCCCAUGACACUUAGGCAUCACAAGAGCUUCAAAGUUGUUUUAAACUAAUUUGGCAUGUUUGGGACUGCUCCAGUUCUAACUCCAGCGUUAACGUGUA